CUGGAAGUGGCGUAGGGGGGACCCCAAAAAUGCUGUCACCCCCCCUUGCAGGAUGUGGGCCGCUCCCCGCUUUGGGGCGCUGGUGACAAAUUGGCGGGUGGUGAUGAUCAAAAGCGCAGGUGCCACCUCGGGGAUGUCACAGAGGGGGUCCUGCGGUGCCACCGGCCACCCGCGCUGAGCGGGUGACAAAGGGGGGAUCAGGGGGUCCCCAGGGUGCUGGGAGGGGCGCAGGGGAAGCGCGGCCGGGGCAGGAGGGAAAGUUCUCCGGUCCCGCCUGCGCCCGAGGCAUAGGGAUGGCGGGGCACCCAUCAACCAGUCCCCGACAGGGGUGGGGGCUGCGAGGAGCUGGCGUGGGCACCCACUGGGUGGGGACCCCCUAGGUGGGCACCCCCUUGCUGGGCAGAAGAACACAAAAGUUUGGGUCCCCUGGAUGGGCAGGGGUAUCCCAGGGAGGGAGGACCCCAAAAACUGGGGACUCCUCAAGGUGGGGAUGCCAGGUUGGGGAUGCCCACCCCACGAAGCCCAAGUUCAGCCCCUGGACUCACCUGAGUGACUCUCCCCAUCCCAACCCCACCCACGCCUGUCCAGGGACCCCCAAAAUGCCUCCCCCCAUCCCACUAACCCCAAAUCCAGCCCAUGAACCCCCAAAAUUAUUCCCCCCAUCCCGCCACCCACAAUUCCUGCUCACAAAAUUACUUCCCCCGUCCCACCACUCCCAAAUUUAUCCCCUGGGCCCCCCCAGAGUGACUCCCCCCAUGCCAGCGCGCCCACAUCUACCCCGUGGAACCCUCAAACUAUUCUCCCCCCAACAGAUGGAGGUGAAAGCCCGCCCGACCACACCCGAGCCCCCCGCCCGGCCACACCCGAGCCCCCCGCCCUACUGAAGAACUACAAGUGGUGCACCGCGACUGCCCCCGGCAGUCAACCGGCGGCGACCCCGAAAGGGGCGGGAGGUCCCCGGGGAGCCGCUGCUGGGAGGGGAUGCAGGGCUGGAAACGCUCCUACAGCCGCCCCGGCACCGACGGCGACAGGGCUGGUGACAGUGGUGUCCCCAAGGCCAGCGCGUGCGGGUCCCUGUUCCAAAAGGCGUUUUUCGCCCCCUCCAAGGCGCCCAAGGGUACAGGGGACCCGCGGGGGACAGGAGGGGACGAGGCUACCCCUGCAGCAGUACCUGCAUUCCGAGGACAGGAGGAGGCGACAGGGGAGCCAGGGCAGCGCUGGGGGCACAGGAUGGGGCAGGUGCUGUACUUAGGAGGGGUGGAAUAUCUGUGUUCACCAGGCUGGAACAGCUUUAUUCUGGAGUGAAAGCUGAAUGCUGGAUGCUGAAGUAAUUUCAGAGCAGCAUAGAACAUGCUGAGUUGAAAGGGACUCUUCAGGAUCAUUAAGUCCAACUCCUACCCUGUACAGAACACCACAACAAUUCCACCAUGGGCCUGAGAGCAUUGUCCAAAUGCUUCCUGUCCCAAAACAUACUUAAGGCUGGUACCACUUCCUUGGGGACCUUGUUCCAGUGCUCAACCCCCCUCUAGGUGAAAAACUUUCUCCUGAUAUCCAACCUGUCCUCCCCUGAUUCAGCUCCAGCCAUUUCCUUGAGUUCUGUCCCUGCUCAUGAGAGUUAAGAGCUUGGUGCUGGCCCCUGCACUGCCUCUUGGGAAGACGUUGAAGAGCGCAGUGAGGUCUCACCUGAGUCUCCUCUUCUCCAGCUGAACAAGCCAAGUGUCCUCAGCAGUUCCUCACAGAGCCCCUUGAGACCCUUCCCCAUCCUUGUGACCUCCUCUGGACACUCUGCAAUGGCUUUAUAUCUUUUAUAUUGUGUCGCUCAAGGUGAGGCCACCCUAGUGCAGAGCAGAGCGUGACAAUCCCCUCCCCAGCCCAGAGGCCAGGAUGCUGGGCCUGCUGCCCCCAGGACACAGUGGCACUUUGGACUGCCAGGGCACUGUUGACUCAUGUUCAGCUUGUCCUUGGGCAGGACCCCCAGGUCCCUCCCUGCAGCUGCCCUGCAGCCCCUCUUUCCCCUUUCCAUACGCCAAGCCAGGGGUGCCCAUCCCAGGGGCAGAAUCUUACCCCUCCCUUGUUAAAGUCCACACUGUUGGUGAUUGUCCAUCUCUAUAUGGGACGUCUCUCUGCAGAGCCUCUCUGCCCUCCUGGCAGGUGACAGUUCAUCCCAGUUUGGUGUCAUCAGUAAAUUUACUGAUUAUCCCUUCAAGUCCUGUGUUCACAUCAUUAACAAAGACGUUGGAGAGCAGGGACUGCCAAUGGAGCCCUGCAGAACCCUCUGGUGACCACUGCCAGCGUGGUGUCACCCCAGUCACUGCUACCCUUGGUGCCUGACCCAUGAGCCAGUUGCUCACCCGUUCCACAAUGUGUUCAUCCAGAUGUGUGAUGGACACUUUGUCUAGAAGCAUUUUGGGAGACACAGUAUCAAAAGCUUUGCUGAAAUCCAGAAAGAUUACAUCUAGUGGCUUUCCUGGAUCAACCAAGUGAGUUCCCCUGUCAUAGAAGGAAAUCAGAUUUCACAAGCAGGACUUUCCCCUCAUGAAGCCGUGCUGACUCUGACUGAUGCUUGCAUUGUCCUCCAGGUGUUUUUCAAUACUUCCCAGAACAAACUUUUCCAUUAUUUUAUCAAGUAUCAGAGUGAGACUGACAGGCCCGUAGUGUCUGGGAUCCUCCUUGCCCUUGAAAAUCAGGACAAAAUUCUCUAGCUUCCAGUCAGCUGGGACUCCUCAAAUCCCAGAUCUGAACUCUGUGUUUGUUCUGAUUUCUUCAGCCUGCUCACAUCUGCAUGUAUGGGCUUCUAUUCUUCUCAAGCAAACCCACUUUGAGGGCAGUAAUGGUUAAAAGAACAAUUAAAUAUACUUUCUGAUUACAGGCACAAAGUCAUUGCGGAUAAAACAAUAUGUUUAAAAGCUUUUUAAAGUGGGACUCACAGCACACAAGUGAACUGCCAUGACCUUUUUUUGGAAAAAAAAGUCAAUUGUGAAUUUGUCAUGGUUUACAGAAAGGAAACUGUAGAAGCCUUGCUUAAAUGAGGGCUCAUCUAUGGCACAGUUUGAAGCACUCUCCUUUUCCUCUGAAGGAAAUGUCUUUAGUUUGAAGCACUCUCCUUUUCCUCUGAAGGAAAUGUCUUUGUGGGCAUGGUAAGUGGUACAUUUAAUGGAAUUACCUAAUUGUAUAGAAUUAGCAAUAACGUUCAUGUGACAAUUGAUUUUAUUUCCUUUUGAUAACUCAGAAAAUCAAUAAAUGUCAAUUUGCUGCUACUCCCCACCCUAUUCCCCUGUCAUUCACUGCAAGCAGUGAUAAGCAUUCAGUAGGAAGGUGAUGAGGUGAUGUUUGACCUGGCAGUUGGAAGUGCAGUGAUCUGUGAUCCCAGUGCAGCUGGGUUGGCCCAUCUAUGUCAGAUGAGGUUCUGUAGGGAUCAGAGUUCCCUGGGACCCACCAUAUUCCUUCAACACUCAUUUCACUUUACAGUGAGUGGUGCAGCUCCUGUCCACACAUCAAGACAUUUUCUAACAUCAGAGUCUGCUUGUCAGGGCUCCCUAACCUGUCUGUAUUUAGCACAAAUUCCCAGCUUCAAGGGAAGUUUAGGAAUGUGUUCUUCCAAAAGGAAUUGUCUUCAGUGGACGUCUUAGAUUGAAAGAUGUAGCUGGGGGUGUGCAUUCUAUUCCCAUCUGUUACAGGAGGGGCGGUUGUCUUAUCUCAGUUGGGCAGUUUUCUUUAUCUCUUCCACAACCAAUCCUCCCUCCAGGAAAUAUCUUCUGUUAAUGGGCCAGUGAAUGUCACGGCAUGACUGAUAAAAAUUUCAUCAUCCCAUUGUGAGAUGCUCUGCCUAUAGGAAGGAGCCAAGCAUUCCUACCUGGAUAUAGUCUGAGAUUUUGGGACACCAGAUCAGCCUUUUCCCACCUGAUUCCCAGAGGAGCAGCUUUCUUCUACGCUGGAUUCCCAAGGAAGUCCAGGCCCAUCUACACCACCAAUGGAUCUUCAGAGGAAAACUCCACCUUUCUACAGGAUCUCUGCUUCAACAGAACCACACCUGUCACUGCAGGUGCACUGCAGCCACCAUUUAAUGGGACUGCUACCACCACCCUGACCCACAGGGUGUCAGGUCGUAUUCUGACUCUGUCAGUGGGGUCUUUUGUUUGUACUAUUGCAUUUGUAUUUUUAAUUUUCCUAGUAAAGAACUGUUUUUCCUAUUCC